rnacentral:sRNA from 1 species
UGCCACGGAUGGCAGGGGAACUAAGCAAUAGCGAGUUUUCGAAAGAACACUCGUAGCUAAACAAUGUACACGGAUGUACAUUGUUUAGCG